rnacentral:rRNA from 1 species
AGCGAACGCUGGCGGCAGGCCUAACACAUGCAAGUCGAACGGAGUGAAGCCCUGCGGGACUUCGCUUAGUGGCGAACGGGUGAGUAACGCGUGAGGCACCUGCCUUUCAGUGGGGGACAACAGUUGGAAACGACUGCUAAUACCGCAUAAUGCUUGCGAGCGGCAUCGCUUUAAAGCUAAAGAUUUAUCGCUGAAAGAUGGUAUCGCGUCUGAUUAGCGAGUUGGUGAGGUAACGGCUCACCAAGGCGACGAUCAGUAGCCGGUCUGAGAGGAUGGACGGCCACAUUGGGACUGAGAUACGGCCCAGACUCCUACGGGAGGCAGCAGUGGGGAAUAUUGGGCAAUGGGGGAAACCCUGACCCAGCAACGCCGCGUGAAGGAAGAAGGCUUUCGGGUUGUAAACUUCUUUUACCAGGGGCGAAGAAAGUGCCGGUACCUGGAGAAAAAGCAACGGCUAACUACGUGCCAGCCGCCGCGGUAA